GGCUGUGGGGAGUCUUCCUGCAGUCGACGAUGAUGCCUAGCUUGCUAGGUGGAUUAGUGGCGAACGGGUGAGUAACACGUGAGUAACCUGCCCCUGACUCUGGGAUAAGCCUGAGAAAUUGGGUCUAAUACUGGAUAUGAACAUUUACCGCAUGGUGGGUGUUGGAAAGAUUUUUUGGUUGGGGAUGGACUCGCGGCCUAUCAGCUUGUUGGUGAGGUAGUGGCUCACCAAGGCGACGACGGGUAGCCGGCCUGAGAGGGUGACCGGCCACACUGGGACUGAGACACGGCCCAGACUCCUACGGGAGGCAGCAGUGGGGAAUAUUGCACAAUGGGCGAAAGCCUGAUGCAGCGACGCCGCGUGAGGGAUGACGGCCUUCGGGUUGUAAACCUCUUUCAGUAAGGAAGAAGCGAAAGUGACGGUACUUGCAGAAGAAGCGCCGGCUAACUACGUGCCAGCAGCCGCGGUAAUACGUAGGGCGCGAGCGUUAUCCGGAAUUAUUGGGCGUAAAGAGCUCGUAGGCGGUUUGUCGCGUCUGCCGUGAAAGUCCGGGGCUUAACUCCGGAUCUGCGGUGGGUACGGGCAGGCUAGAGUGCAGUAGGGGAGACUGGAAUUCCUGGUGUAGCGGUGAAAUGCGCAGAUAUCAGGAGGAACACCGAUGGCGAAGGCAGGUCUCUGGGCUGUAACUGACGCUGAGGAGCGAAAGCAUGGGUAGCGAACAGGAUUAGAUACCCUGGUAGUCCAUGCCGUAAACGUUGGGCACUAGGUGUGGGGGACAUUCCACGUUUUCCGCGCCGUAG
rnacentral:rRNA from 1 species